GACGAACGCUGGCGGCGUGCUUAACACAUGCAAGUCGAACGGAAAGGCCCUGCUUGCCGGGUACUCGAGUGGCGAACGGGUGAGUAACACGUGGGUGAUCUGCCCUGCACUUCGGGAUAAGCCUGGGAAACUGGGUCUAAUACCGGAUAGGAGCCAUUUUUAGUGUGAUGGUUGGAAAGUUUUUUCGGUGUAGGAUGAGCUCGCGGCCUAUCAGCUUGUUGGUGGGGUAAUGGCCUACCAAGGCGGCGACGGGUAGCCGGCCUGAGAGGGUGGACGGCCACAUUGGGACAGAGAUACGGCCCAGACUCCUACGGGAGGCAGCAGUGGGGAAUAUUGCACAAUGGGCGCAAGCCUGAUGCAGCGACGCCGCGUGGGGGAUGACGGCCUUCGGGUUGUAAACUCCUUUCGCUAGGGACGAAGCUUUUUGUGACGGUACCUAGAGAAGAAGCACCGGCUAACUACGUG
rnacentral:rRNA from 1 species